rnacentral:lncRNA from 1 species
AAAAACAGCAUGAAAAAGAGGAAAGAACUUGUGACACAGAAAUGACUAAACUUUAUGAAAUCUGUAGACAAAUGAGUCUGUUGUAACCGUCUUUGUCUUUUUUUUCUAAAUUGUUUGUGUUCUGAGUGAAGUUUGUGCGUUUUCUUUGUCUCAUGGGGUCAGAAGUGGCUGUUUGGUGAGCUUCCUUCUUUCUUCAAGAAGUCUGGUGGGUCUUUAGUUCCGUUUUCAGCUCUGAUCGCUGCAGAAAAAUGGAAGCCGUGGUCCGACUGUUGUUGCUGUUAGUAGGAGUCGCUCAUGGUACAGAGACUUUCUGUGAUUCAAGACAGGAUAAAGCUCAGUGUUAUGGAGCUGAUGGUGGAACUGUGUUCAUACAGCUGAUCAACGAAGACACAGAGACAGACAAUAAAUUUGAAUGGAUGAAGGAUAACUUGGUAUUACUUAAAGGGAAAAAUAAUUCCAUACUAUCUAAUGAAUUGAAGAACAGAUCUUCAUUUUUUUUCAACAAUGGAACAUUUAUGAUUAAAAACCUGAGUAAAAGUGACAGCGGUGAAUAUAAACUCACACUGUAUAACUCAGAGGGAAAGAUUAUCAAAAGACGGUCUACAAGGUUAACUGUUAAUGAAAGGAAUCCGCUGUCCAUCCUGGCUGUUUUGCUUUCACUUCUGUUAAUCUGCUUAAUUGCUGGAACUGUUGUCAUCUGUGUCUUGAAAAAAAACAAAAACAAAGGCGAUCAUCAAAUAAUCUAUGCUGAAGUUCAGAUGAAGCAGCAGCAGAAGAAGAGGAGAAUCUCUGAAAAGUUAGAAGUGGAGGUGGAGUACAGUGAAGUGAAGUUUGCAGAGCGCCCUCGUCAGACUGAGCCUGCAAAUUAUGAAGCGUUCAAAGGAGAUUCAAGUUGAGGAAGAUGAAGAGAUCCGCAGGAUCUUCCUAAAAGAUGCACUUUGAUCUGUUUGUAUGCAGCUGCCCUAAUUUUCUUUUCUUUUUCUCUAUAUUAAUGUGGGUUACAUUGAGAACAUGAGAAUGUGAGGAAACUGCUGUAAUUUCUUCCUUUGGCUUCUUUUUGUUCAGUGCUUGAUAUAUGGGCCUCGUAAUAAGACAUCUUAAAGGCUAUUUUAUGUUAUUUAAAGAUGGUAUUGUUUGUUUUUCAUAAUUUCUCAGUAACGCAAAGCAGCAAAUUGAUCAAAAGAACCACAUGAUCCACAAAAUGGAAAAACAAGCUAUGUUUGUGAUGAACAAAGGAAAACGUUUGGAAGCUUCUUGAUAACAGCUCACAUACUCACUAACAUAUGUUUUAAAGUUAUAGAAAAGAAACCCAGACUCUUAAACUUUAAAUGAUUGCAAAAAAGGAUAAUAUGAAUUUAAUAAAAACAUAAGGAGGACCAUCACUUCUUCUGUCUGCACAAAGUCAGUCAAAGUUGUUCCAAACUGAAACUUAAGUCAAACUCAGUUUGUUGUCUGUAAGAAAAAUCAACAAAACUGCAAAAAUUCACAUCCUGAAUGUGAUUCAGAGGCAACCAAUUAAAAAAUUGAAGCCAUCGUUCUACAGAUUCCUUAGUUUCAUAUUCUUUUGAUCAAGAAAGUAGACAGAAAAGCACACUACAGAUGUGAAACUGAAAAAAAAACUCAACUGUUUUCUACAGUAAGUUAUUUGUGUUUCAUUUGUUUGUUGACUUUCUGUUUUUUGCACUUGGAUGCUAAGCAUGUUCUUUCCAGUUGUGACAUGUACAAAGUCCCUGAUCUAUGAAUUAGCAUGUUGUUUAACCAACAUCAAGGAUGGACACGUCAACAGCCUUUCAGAAGCAGUUUGUCUUUGUAUUUUCUGUGCUGAUGGUUCAGUGCUGUGCAGCAUUUGUGAGGAUAGAAUUUUACGUUGUUUGAUUAUUUUGCUCUUUUUGAAAUUUCUCUUUUUUGCAGAUGCACAAUUUAUAAAGUAACAAAUAAAAAUUUGUAGAAAAAGAAAAA